GACGAACGCUGGCGGCGUGCUUAACACAUGCAAGUCGAACGGAAAGGCCCUGCUUUUGUGGGGUGCUCGAGUGGCGAACGGGUGAGUAACACGUGAGUAACCUGCCCUUGACUUUGGGAUAACUUCAGGAAACUUGGGCUAAUACCGGAUAGGAGCUCCUGCUGCAUGGUGGGGGUUGGAAAGUUUCGGCGGUUGGGGAUGGACUCGCGGCUUAUCAGCUUGUUGGUGGGGUAGUGGCUUACCAAGGCUUUGACGGGUAGCCGGCCUGAGAGGGUGACCGGCCACAUUGGGACUGAGAUACGGCCCAGACUCCUACGGGAGGCAGCAGUGGGGAAUAUUGCACAAUGGGAGGAAGCCUGAUGCAGCCACGCCGCGUGCGGGAUGACGGCCUUCGGGUUGUAAACCGCUUUCGCCUGUGACGAAGCGUGAGUGACGGUAAUGGGUAAAGAAGCACCGGCUAACUACGUG
rnacentral:rRNA from 1 species